rnacentral:rRNA from 1 species
UACGUAGGGGGCAAGCGUUGUCCGGAAUCAUUGGGCGUAAAGCGCGCGUAGGCGGCCCGGUAAGUCCGCUGUAAAAGUCCAGGGCUCAACCCUGGAAAGCCGGUGGAUACUGUCGGGCUAGAGUCCGGAAGAGGCGAGUGGAAUUCCGGGUGUAGCGGUGGAAUGCGUAGAGAUCCGGAAGAACACCGGUGGCGAAGGCGGCCUGCUGGGCAGUUGCUGACACUGAGGCGCGACAGCGUGGGGAGCAAACAGG